rnacentral:tRNA from 1 species
GCGGGAUUAGGUGGAAGGCUGGUUAAACCAUUUGGUUUUCGACCACUACGACCCGGGUUCGAUUCCCGCAUUGGACA